AUAGUAAAUAGAUGUAUAUUACUGACAUUUUCCAUAUUAGGAACCAUUACGAGCACUAUGUGGUUAUCCUAAUCAUGUCAUGAAAACACGUUCAUCAAGGGAGAGGAAACCAAGUAAAUUCAAGGUCUCCCCGUUUGUACAGAAAUCAAGGAAGAUGGUAAAACGUGAAGCAUCAGAGUGAGCUUCUUGUUGACUUUGGUCAUGAACAUGGAGUUCGUGGAGAUUUUGCAUGCUUACGUCCUAGACAAAAUUUGAUGGAUGUUGUAAUAAAUUUAGAAGCCUCAAAGCUAAAUUAUUUUGAAAGACAAUUCAUAGGCAUACGAAGUAUAAGAUGCUAUCUUCCCACGACAUUUUCAGUAAGCUCAUAUUUCUCUUGUUGUUUACUUACAUAUUAAGUACAAUAUAGUAAUGUUCGUAUUAUGUUUUCUUAUUAGCAAAUGAUUUUGUGCGGGAGUCCUCAUCCUUUUUU